rnacentral:rRNA from 1 species
ACGGGUGCGUAACACGUGAGCGACCUGCCUCUUCGCGGGGGAUAGCCGGCCCAACGGCCGGGUAAUACCGCAUACGCAGUGGCCCUUUCAUGGGGGCGACUGGAAACCUCCGGGGCGGAGAGAGGGGCUCGCGGCCUAUCAGCUUGUUGGCGGGGUAACGGCCCACCAAGGCGACGACGGGUAGCUGGUCUGAGAGGAUGGCCAGCCACAUUGGGACUGAGAGACGGCCCAGACUCCUACGGGAGGCAGCAGUGGGGAAUCUUGCGCAAUGGCCUGACGGCUGACGCAGCGACGCCGCGUGUGGGAGGACGCCCCUCGGGGUGUAAACCACUGUUGCCCGGGACGAAUAAGCUGUUUCGACAGCUCUGACGGUACCGGGUGAGGAAGCACCGGCUAACUCCGUGCCAGCAGCCGCGGUAAUACGGAGGGUGCGAGCGUUGUCCGGAAUCACUGGGCGUAAAGGGCGCGUAGGCGGCGCGGUAAGCGUGCGGUGAAAGCCCGGGGCUCAACCCCGGGUCGGCCGUGCGGACUGCCGGGCUCGAGCACUGUAGAGGCGGGUGGAAUUCCGGGUGUAGCGGUGGAAUGCGUAGA